GACGAACGCUGGCGGCGUGCUUAACACAUGCAAGUCGAACGGUAAGGCCCUUCGGGGUACACGAGUGGCGAACGGGUGAGUAACACGUGGGUGAUCUGCCCUGCACUUUGGGAUAAGCCUGGGAAACUGGGUCUAAUACCGAAUACACCCUGCUGGUCGCAUGGCCUGGUGGGGGAAAGCUUUUGCGGUGUGGGAUGGGCCCGCGGCCUAUCAGCUUGUUGGUGGGGUGAUGGCCUACCAAGGCGACGACGGGUAGCCGGCCUGAGAGGGUGUCCGGCCACACUGGGACUGAGAUACGGCCCAGACUCCUACGGGAGGCAGCAGUGGGGAAUAUUGCACAAUGGGCGCAAGCCUGAUGCAGCGACGCCGCGUGAGGGAUGACGGCCUUCGGGUUGUAAACCUCUUUCAAUAGGGACGAAGCGCAAGUGACGGUACCUAUAGAAGAAGCACCGGCCAACUACGUGCCAGCAGCCGCGGUAAUACGUAGGGUGCGAGCGUUGUCCGGAAUUACUGGGCGUAAAGAGCCCGUAGGUGGUUUGUCGCGUUGUUCGUGAAAACUCACAGCUUAACUGUGGGCGUGCGGGCGAUACGGGCAGACUGGAGUACUGCAGGGGAGACUGGAAUUCCUGGUGUAGCGGUGGAAUGCGCAGAUAUCAGGAGGAACACCGGUGGCGAAGGCGGGUCUCUGGGCAGUAACUGACGCUGAGGAGCGAAAGCGUGGGGAGCGAACAGGAUUAGAUACCCUGGUAGUCCACGCCGUAAACGGUGGGUACUAGGUGUGGGUUUCCUUCCUUGGGAUCCGUGCCGUAGCUAACGCAUUAAGUACCCCGCCUGGGGAGUACGGCCGCAAGGCUAAAACUCAAAGAAAUUGACGGGGGCCCGCACAAGCGGCGGAGCAUGUGGAUUAAUUCGAUGCAACGCGAAGAACCUUACCUGGGUUUGACAUGCACAGGACGCCGGCAGAGAUGUCGGUUCCCUUGUGGCCUGUGUGCAGGUGGUGCAUGGCUGUCGUCAGCUCGUGUCGUGAGAUGUUGGGUUAAGUCCCGCAACGAGCGCAACCCUUGUCUCAUGUUGCCAGCACGUUAUGGUGGGGACUCGUGAGAGACUGCCGGGGUCAACUCGGAGGAAGGUGGGGAUGACGUCAAGUCAUCAUGCCCCUUAUGUCCAGGGCUUCACACAUGCUACAAUGGCCGGUACAAAGGGCUGCGAUGCCGUGAGGUGGAGCGAAUCCUUUCAAAGCCGGUCUCAGUUCGGAUCGGGGUCUGCAACUCGACCCCGUGAAGUCGGAGUCGCUAGUAAUCGCAGAUCAGCAACGCUGCGGUGAAUACGUUCCCGGGCCU
rnacentral:rRNA from 1 species